rnacentral:rRNA from 1 species
AAUAGGGCGAUCGUCAGUGUUUAUAGACCCGAACCCGGGUGAUCUAACCAUGGCCAGGAUGAAGCUUGGGUGAUACCAAGUGGAGGUCCGAACCGACUGAUGUUGAAAAAUCAGCGGAUGAGCUGUGGUUAGGGGUGAAAUGCCAAUCGAACCCGGAGCUAGCUGGUUCUCCCCGAAAUACGUUGAGGCGUAGCGUCUAGUGCUCCAGCAGGGGGGUAAAGCCACCAUUUCGGUGCGGGCUGCGAGAGCGGUACCUAAUCGAGAUGAACUCUGAAUACCCUGUGUGUAACUAGGCAGUCAGACUGUGGGGGAUAAGCUCCAUAGUCGAAAGGGAAACAGCCCAGACCGCCAGCUAAGGUCCCAAAAUCAACACUAAGUGAUAAAGGAGGUGGGAUUGCACAGACAACCAGGAGGUUUGCCUAGAAGCAGCCAUCCUCAAAGGAGUGCGUAAUAGCUCACUGGUCGAGCGAUCCUGCGCCGAAAAUGAACGGGGCUAAGUGUUGUACCGAAGCUGCGGAUUUAACUUGUUAAAUGGUAGGGGAGCGUUCUAUGUGGGGCGAAGCGUUAGCGUAAGCGGGCGUGGACUGCAUAGAAGUGAGAAUGUCGGCUUGAGUAGCGAAAACAUGGGUGAGAAUCCCAUGCCCCGAAACCCUAAGGGUUCCUCCGGCAGGCUCGUCCACGGAGGGUUAGUCUGGACCUAAGGCGAGGCCGAAAGGCGUAGUCGAUGGACAACAGGUCAACAUUCCUGUACCGGUUAUGUUUUGGGAAGGGGGACGGAGAAGGCUAGCCAAGCCAGAUGUUGGUUACUGGUUUAAGCGUUCGAGGCGUUGAGGAGCGGAGAAAACGUUCUGAGCUAAGGCGUGAAUACGAGCUGCUACGGCAGUGAAGUUGGUGAUGUCAUGCUUCCAAGAAAAGCCCUAUACCCGUUAAGGCAUAACUGCCAGUACCCGAAACCGACACAGGUAGGGUGGUAGAGAAUACCGAGGGGCGCGAGAUAACUCUCUCUAAGGAACUCGGCAAAAUGGCCCCGUAACUUCGGGAGAAGGGGUGCCAGCGAGAGCUGGUCGCAGUGAAGAGGCCCAGGCGACUGUUUACCAAAAACACAGGUCUCCGCUAAGUCGCAAGACGAUGUAUGGGGGCUGACGCCUGCCCAGUGCCGGAAGGUUAAGGAAGCCGGUCAGCGUAAGCGAAGCUGGCGACUGAAGCCCCGGUGAACGGCGGCCGUAACUAUAACGGUCCUAAGGUAGCGAAAUUCCUUGUCGGGUAAGUUCCGACCCGCACGAAAGGCGUAACGAUCUGGGCGCUGUCUCGGAGAGAGGCUCGGCGAAAUAGAAUUGUCUGUGAAGAUGCGGACUACGUACACCCGGACAGAAAGACCCUAUGAAGCUUUACUGUAGCUUGGUAUUGUGCUCGGGCUCUGAAUGCGCAGGAUAGGUGGGAGACGUUGAAGUAGUGCUCGUGGGUAUUACUGAGUCAAUGGUGAGAUACCACUCUUUCAGAGCUAGGGUUCUAACGUUCACCCGUUAUCCGGGGAGCGGACAGUAUCAGGUGGGCAGUUUGACUGGGGCGGUCGCCUCCUAAAAGGUAACGGAGGCGUGCAAAGGUUCCCUCAGGCUGGUUGGAAAUCAGUCGAUGAGUGCAAAGGCAGAAGGGAGCUUGACUGUGAGACCUACAAGUCGAACAGGGACGAAAGUCGGCCUUAGUGAUCCGACGGUUCUGAGUGGAAGGGCCGUCGCUCAACGGAUAAAAGUUACUCUAGGGAUAACAGGCUGAUCUCCCCCAAGAGUUCACAUCGACGGGGAGGU